rnacentral:rRNA from 1 species
AAACGCUUGAAGUCAGUCGCGUUGGCUGGGAAUCAGCCUUGCUUUUGCUUGGUGUACUUCCUUGUUAACGGGUCAGCAUCAAUUUUGACCGGUGGAAAAAGGCCAGAUGAAUGUGGCAUCUUCGGAUGUGUUAUAGCAUCUGGUUGUAUACAUCGGUUGGGAUUGAGGAACUCAGCACGCCGCAAGGUCGGGGUUCGCCCACGUUCGUGCUUAGGAUGCUGGCAUAAUGGCUUUAAUCGA